rnacentral:rRNA from 1 species
GAACGCUGGCGGAGGCCUACACAUGCAAGUCGAACGGUAACAUUUCUAGCUUGCUAGAAGAUGACGAGUGGCGGACGGGUGAGUAAUGCUUGGGAACUUGCCUUUACGAGGGGGAUAACAGUUGGAAACGACUGCUAAUACCGCAUAAUGUCUUCGGACCAAACGGGGCUUCGGCUCCGGCGCAAAGAGAGGCCCAAGUGAGAUUAGCUAGUUGGUAAGGUAACGGCUUACCAAGGCGACGAUCUCUAGCUGUUCUGAGAGGAAGAUCAGCCACACUGGGACUGAGACACGGCCCAGACUCCUACGGGAGGCAGCAGUGGGGAAUAUUGCACAAUGGGGGAAACCCUGAUGCAGCCAUGCCGCGUGUGUGAAGAAGGCCUUCGGGUUGUAAAGCACUUUCAGUUGUGAGGAAAAGUUAGUAGUUAAUACCUGCUAGCCGUGACGUUAACAACAGAAGAAGCACCGGCUAACUCCGUGCCAGCAGCCGCGGUAAUACGGAGGGUGCGAGCGUUAAUCGGAAUUACUGCGCGUAAAGCGCACGCAGGCGGUUUGUUAAGCUAGAUGUGAAAGCCCCGGGCUCAACCUGGGAU